CCUACGGGAGGCAGCAGUGAGGAAUAUUGGUCAAUGGACGAGAGUCUGAACCAGCCAAGUAGCGUGAAGGAUGACUGCCCUACGGGUUGUAAACUUCUUUUAUAUGGGAAUAAAAUGUUCCACGUGUGGGAUUUUGUAUGUACCAUAUGAAUAAGGAUCGGCUAACUCCGUGCCAGCAGCCGCGGUAAUACGGAGGAUCCGAGCGUUAUCCGGAUUUAUUGGGUUUAAAGGGAGCGUAGGUGGAUUGUUAAGUCAGUUGUGAAAGUUUGCGGCUCAACCGUAAAAUUGCAAUUGAAACUGGCAGUCUUGAGUACAGUAGAGGUGGGCGGAAUUCGUGGUGUAGCGGUGAAAUGCUUAGAUAUCACGAAGAACUCCGAUUGCGAAGGCAGUUCACUGGACUGCAACUGACACUGAGGCUCGAAAGUGUGGGUAUCAAACAGGAUUAGAUACCCUUGUAGUC
rnacentral:rRNA from 1 species